rnacentral:rRNA from 1 species
AAAUCGUACCCCAAACCGACACAGGUGGUCAGGUAGAGAAUACCAAGGCGCUUGAGAGAACUCGGGUGAAGGAACUAGGCAAAAUGGUGCCGUAACUUCGGGAGAAGGCACGCUGAUGGUAGGUGAAGUGACUUGCUCAUGGAGCUGAAAUCAGUCGAAGAUACCAGCUGGCUGCAACUGUUUAUUAAAAACACAGCACUGUGCAAACACGAAAGUGGACGUAUACGGUGUGACGCCUGCCCGGUGCCGGAAGGUUAAUUGAUGGGGUUAUCCGUAAGGAGAAGCUCUUGAUCGAAGCCCCGGUAAACGGCGGCCGUAACUAUAACGGUCCUAAGGUAGCGAAAUUCCUUGUCGGGUAAGUUCCGACCUGCACGAAUGGCGUAAUGAUGGCCAGGCUGUCUCCACCCGAGACUCAGUGAAAUUGAACUCGCUGUGAAGAUGCAGUGUACCCGCGGCAAGACGGAAAGACCCCGUGAACCUUUACUAUAGCUUGACACUGAACACUGGUCCUUGAUGUGUAGGAUAGGUGGGAGGCUUUGAAGUGUGGACGCCAGUCUGCAUGGAGCCAACCUUGAAAUACCACCCUUUAAUGGCUGGUGUUCUAACGUAGACCCGUGAUCCGGGUUGCGGACAGUGUCUGGUGGGUAGUUUGACUGGGGCGGUCUCCUCCUAAAGAGUAACGGAGGAGCACGAAGGUUAGCUAAUCCUGGUCGGACAUCAGGAGGUUAGUGCAAAGGCAUAAGCUAGCUUGACUGCGAGAGUGACGGCUCGAGCAGGUGCGAAAGCAGGUCUUAGUGAUCCGGUGGUUCUGAAUGGAAGGGCCAUCGCUCAACGGAUAAAAGGUACUCCGGGGAUAACAGGCUGAUACCGCCCAAGAGUUCAUAUCGACGGCGGUGUUUGGCACCUCGAUGUCGGCUCAUCACAUCCUGGGGCUGAAGUAGGUCCCAAGGGUAUGGCUGUUCGCCAUUUAAAGUGGUACGCGAGCUGGGUUUAGAACGUCGUGAGACAGUUCGGUCCCUAUCUGCCGUGGGCGCUGGAGAAUUGAGGGGGGCUGCUCCUAGUACGAGAGGACCGGAGUGGACGCAUCACUGGUGUUCGGGUUGUCAUGCCAAUGGCAUUGCCCGGUAGCUAAAUGCGGAAGAGAUAAGUGCUGAAAGCAUCUAAGCACGAAACUUGCCCCGAGAUGAGUUCUCCCUGACUCCUUGAGAGUCCUGAAGGAACGUUGAAGACGACGACGUUGAUAGGUCGGGUGUGUAAGUGUAGCGAUACAUUGAGCUAACCGAUACUAAUGAACCGUGAGGCUUAACCUUACAACGCCAAAG